rnacentral:rRNA from 14 species
CUGAAGAGUUUGAUCCUGGCUCAGAUUGAACGCUGGCGGUAUGCCUAACACAUGCAAGUCGAACGAGGUAGCAAUACCUAGUGGCGGACGGGUGAGGAAUACGUAGGGAUCUGCCUUUAAGUGGGGGAUAACCCGGGGAAACCCGGAUUAAUACCGCAUGAUCUCGCAAGAGCAAAGUGGGGGAUCGCAAGACCUCACGCUUUUAGAGGAACCUACGUCGGAUUAGCUUGUUGGUGAGGUAAUGGCUCACCAAGGCGACGAUCCGUAACUGGUCUGAGAGGAUGAUCAGUCACACCGGAACUGAGACACGGUCCGGACUCCUACUGGAGGCAGCAGGGGGGAAUAUUGGACAAUGGGCGC